CCUGGGGUAUGAUCUCACCGAACACGACGAUGCCGCUGGUGGAGGCUAUCACAGCACCAAACCCAGAGCCGAUCAGGUCGUCUAGCAGGAUGCUCCAUGGGGUCCAACGCCAUGAGCCCGAGGUUUAGCCCACUGAACAUACCUGACAGGACCAGGAGGCAGCAGAUGAGUAUGAUCUGAAGCCAGAGGGGCAGUAGACUCCCGGGCUCCUCAACCACCUGUAGCCAGCCGUCAGGUUUUCCCAAACGUCCACUUCUGCUUCAAGACUACUGCUCUUCCUGCUCGGUGAUUGGCCAUUUGGAUGUAUGAUGUCCACAGUGAAGCUGAUGGUUUUGGAUCG